UUAGAUCUUAUACUGUUUAUUUAUGUUAUUAGAUCUUAUAGGAACUUUUUUUUUGUUCAAAACCCAUUCGGCAGAUCUUAAUCAUUUUCGUUGUUAUUUGUUUGUAGAUCGUUCCACAUAAUUUGCAGAUAUGCAUCCCUUGCACAACAGUCCUUCAUUUUUAAAGCUUAUUGAUGAAGAUGACCCGAUAUUUUUGGUGAAGAGCUUCUUUCAGACUCCUUCCCCU